ACUCCAUUGUGUUUCCAGCAGAGCACGCUGGGAAACGUAGUUGCUGCCCUCUCCUCGAUUGGGUCGGCUUUGCCCUAAUUACUAGGCGCACCCUGCAGGAAGCAAGAAGAGGCCAAGAUCAGAUGUUUUCAGUUGUUGGAGAACCAGAGGACCAAAUAACGUAUGAACUAUGAGAAACUAACAAAUAUUUUGUUAAUGAACACAAGAAUGUAAAAAAAAUCAGCUCGUUCUUGUCAAAAGAAUCCACUCGGUCCUCUUUCAUAACGAUCAGGUAGAGAGUAAGCCACGCAGACGCUACUCUCUAGUCUUCUGUCUCUUCAGCGUAGAUUUUGAUUCCUUGUUGACAGGUCAGGAAAAGCCACUGCUUUCUUCUAGAGAUACUGAUCUGGCAUCAUUGUAGUCACAAGAAUAGCAGCAAGGAUCCCUACAACACUUAAGAUUGAAUUGUAUUCUUUGGACAAAGAAAUUGUGACAGUGGAAGAAUAAGAAUGGCAAACUCUCCAGGACAGCCAGGGCUAUACAGAGAAACUCUGUCUCGAAAAACCAAAAAAAAAAAAAAAAAAAAAAAAAAAAAUGGCAAACUUAUCUGUCAGUGCCUCAUCUAUACAGGCUAUCUACACUUUUUGUCUCAGUAGAUCGACACACGGUCACUUGACGGAAGAAACAGGAGGCUUGUGAAAUGGCUCAGCAGGUCAAGAUGCCUUCUGCUAAGCCUGAUGACCUGAGUUUGAGCCCCAGGCCCAACUUAGUGGAAGGAAAGAACUGACUCCAGCAAGUUGUCUUCUGGUUGGGAAACUGGCAAGAAUAUUUGACAUUAGGCUGGGACAAGGAAAUAGGCUCAAGAAAAAUACAGCAAAGGAAUGAGUUCCUUGUGUUUUGAUCAUCUUGAUACGCCCCUGGAUACAGUGAUCACCAGACUUGAGUUUCACCAUGUAACUUCUGUUGGUCUGGAACUCUCGGUUAACCAAGCCAUCCGUGAACACACAGAGAUCCACCUGCCUCAGUUUCCCGAACGCUAAAAGAUUAAUCCAGCUCUUCAGAAGUCAGGGUCCUGAGAUAAACGACAGAGCAGUGCUAUGGGAAUGUGUCUCAUCCACUGUGUGUGGUAACGCAUUCAGCACUCAGGAGGCUGAGAGAAAAGGGCCAGAAGUUCCCAGACAUCUUUUGUUAUGCAGAAAAUUUAAGACCAGCCUGGGUUACAUGAAACUCUGUUUCAAAAAAUGUCUCAUCAAAAAUGUAGAAAAGUAUAGUUUGGU
rnacentral:lncRNA from 1 species